CUGAACUUAAUUAAAACUUCCUUGGUGAAGGGUGAAGUUCGAAGUCUGGUGUGGUGUAGUUCAAGGCUUGUAUAUAUGUUGGAACCACAUGAAAUUUAUUCACAUUGAUGCUAUCAAAUUGAUUAUUGUUUUACUUUCAAAGUUCAUUGAUCUAUCGUACCUUCAUGAUCAAUAUUGGGUUACAAUAAAAUACACUGGAAAAUGUUGGUGUUUGUGGUAUUGCAGUUUUCUUUUAUUCUUUGCAAAUGUUAUGGACUGGAAAUGAUGGAAAAUGGGUCUAGUCCAAUUGAUGUGCUCAAGAACCAAAAAUUAGGUCUAACAAUUGGUGUUCUGGUGGCGUUGGUUGUAAUGUUGAUUGCUAUGGCUUUGUAUGUAUAUUACCCCCGGCGUCAACGGAUCAGUACUGAAAUCACAUCUUUUCAUCCACAGUUAUGAAGAAUCCAUUGCUGUAGAGAUUCUAUCAUGGGUGUAAGCUGGGGAUGGGAUACACCCCUCCCCCAACCCCAGCAAAUUAGCUCCACUAAGCCGGGUUAAAAUACUACAUUCUGGGAAUUAUUUCCGCAUUCUCAUUCUUCCCCCUCCCCCAAGCCAAAACCAGCCUAUUCCCUUGUCUAUGAUAGCUGUGCUUCCCUAGUAUGGGUGCUCUGCUAUUGUUGAAACUUAUUUAGGGCUCCUCAGAUUUGAAUGCUAAUGGAGAAAAUACACUCUGCUCAAUAUAAUAAAUUUAUCAAAUUAUUUCUAAUUUAUUGUCAAACUAAAUUUGUAAUUUUGUAUUAAUUGAAAAUAGUUAUUUUGGUGUACUGUA